CUGGUGUUCGGGUUGUCAUGCCAAUGGCACUGCCCGGUAGCUAAAUGCGGAAGAGAUAAGUGCUGAAAGCAUCUAAGCACGAAACUUGCCCCGAGAUGAGUUCUCCCUGAGACUUAGAGUCUCCUGAAGGAACGUUGAAGACGACGACGUUGAUAGGCCGGGUGUGUAAGCGCAGCGAUGCGUUGAGCUAACCGGUACUAAUGAACCGUGAGGCUUAACCUUACAACGCCGAAG
rnacentral:rRNA from 3 species